AUUGAACGCUGGCGGCAUGCCUUACACAUGCAAGUCGAACGGUAACGGGCCUUCGGGUGCCGACGAGUGGCGCACGGGUGAGUAAUACAUCGGAACGUGCCCGAUCGUGGGGGAUAACGAGGCGAAAGCUUUGCUAAUACCGCAUACGAUCUACGGAUGAAAGCAGGGGACCGCAAGGCCUUGCGCGGACGGAGCGGCCGAUGGCAGAUUAGGUAGUUGGUGGGAUAAAAGCUUACCAAGCCGACGAUCUGUAGCUGGUCUGAGAGGAUGAUCAGCCACACUGGGACUGAGACACGGCCCAGACUCCUACUGGAGGCAGCAGUGGGGAAUUUUGGACAAUGGGCGCAAGCCUGAUCCAGCCAUGCCGCGUGCAGGAUGAAGGCCUUCGGGUUGUAAACUGCUUUUGUACGGAACGAAAAGCCUUCUUUUAAUACAGGAGGGUCAUGACGGUACCGUAAGAAUAAGCACCGGCUAACUACGUG
rnacentral:rRNA from 1 species